GGCUGGGAUGCAGCUCAGUGGCAAAGCAUCUGACUUGAAUUCGCAAUGCCCUGGGUUCGACCCCCAGUUCCCCA
rnacentral:tRNA from 1 species